UACAGAGGUCCCAAGCGUUGUUCGGAUUCACUGGGCGUAAAGGGUGCGUAGGUGGUGAGGUAAGUCGGAUGUGAAAUCUCCGAGCUCAACUCGGAAAUGGCAUUGGAAACUACCUUGCUUGAGGGUUGGAGGGGGACUGGAAUACUUGGUGUAGCAGUGAAAUGCGUAGAUAUCAAGUGGAACACCAGUGGCGAAGGCGAGUCCCUGGACAACUCCUGACACUGAGGCACGAAAGCUAGGGGAGCAAACAGG
rnacentral:rRNA from 1 species